rnacentral:rRNA from 1 species
UACGUAGGGUGCGAGCGUUUAAUCGGAAUUACUGGGCGUAAAGCGUGCGCAGGCUGUUUUGUAAGUCAGAUGUGAAAUCCCCGAGCUCAACUUGGGAACUGCGUUUGAAACUACAAGACUAGAAUAUGUCAGAGGGGGGGUAGAAUUCCACGUGUAGCAGUGAAAUGCGUAGAGAUGUGGAGGAAUACCAAUGGCGAAGGCAGCCCCCCUGGGAUAAUAUUGACGCUCAUGCACGAAAGCGUGGGGAGCAAACAGG